rnacentral:rRNA from 1 species
AGAGUGCGUAAUAGCUCACUGGUCAAGUGAUCGUGCGCCGACAAUGUAGCGGGGCUCAAGCACACCGCCGAAGCCGCGGACCCACGGCGUUUGUUCCCUUCACCGUAUGCCUUGUGCGUGUGGUGGCAGGGGUCGUGGGUGGUAGGGGAGCGUCCUGCACCGGGGGAAGCCUGUGGGUGACUGCUGGUGGACGGUGCGGGAGUGAGAAUGCAGGCAUGAGUAGCGAUACUAGGGUGAGAAGCCCUAGCGCCGAAUGACCAAGGGUUCCAGGGCCAGGCUAGUCCGCCCUGGGUGAGUCGGGACCUAAGGCGAGGCCGACAGGCGUAGUCGAUGGAUGACGGGUUGAUAUUCCCGUACCGGCGAAGCACCGCCCAUGCUGACGCGCGGGUGCUAACCCACGCCCAGCCACCAUGUAGGCCGCAUGUGUCAGGUUCGCCUGACGGUGUGGUUGUGGUGGUGGGGUCUGGGGAUCCUCCGUGCAGGUAGGCAAGCGUGUUAACAGGGGUGACGCACAGUGGUAGCCCGGCGGACCUGAUGGCUUGGUCCGUUCAAGCGCGCAGCCCGUCCUCCAGGCAAAUCCGGAGUGACUGCCUCCUUGAGAGGUGAGGGUGAGGCGUGAUGGUGACCUCACACUGGUGGGGGAUAACAGGGUGAUCCUGGGGUGCCGAGAAAAGCCUCGACGCGAUGGUGCUAGCCGCCCGUACCCUAAACCGACACAGGUGGUCGGGCAGAGUAUGCCUAGGCGCACGAGUGAAUCAUGGUUAAGGAACUCGGCAAAAUGCCCCCGUAACUUCGGGAGAAGGGGGGCCUGAGCUUUGAAGCCCCUUCGCGGGCUAGGAGCAAGGGUCGCAGAGAACAGGGGGGAGCGACUGUUUACUAAAAACACAGGUCCGUGCGAAGCCGUAAGGCGAUGUAUACGGACUGACGCCUGCCCGGUGCUGGAAGGUUAAGAGGAUCCGUGAGCCCCUUGGAUACAUGGGGUGAGGCGGUGAGUUCAAGCCCCAGUAAACGGCGGUGGUAACUAUAACCAUCCUAAGGUAGCGAAAUUCCUUGUCGGGUAAGUUCCGACCUGCACGAAUGGCGUAACGACUUCCCCGCUGUCUCAACCAUGAGCUCGGCGAAAUUGCAGUACGAGUAAAGAUGCUCGUUUCGCGCAGAAGGACGGAAAGACCCCGGGACCUUUACUACAGCUUGGUAUUGGCGCCCGCUAUAGCUUGUGCAGGAUAGGUGGGAGACGUUGAAGCCGCUACGCCAGUAGUGGUGGAGUCGUCCUUGAAAUACCACUCUGGUUAUGGCGUGCGCCUGAACCUGGGCCCGUGAUCCGGGUCAGGGACAGUGCCUGGUGGGUAGUUUAACUGGGGCGGUUGCCUCCUAAAGUGUAACGGAGGCGCUCAAAGGUUCCCUCAGCCUGGUCGGCAACCAGGUGUUGAGUGCAAGUGCACAAGGGAGCUUGACUGUGAGACCGACGGGUCGAGCAGGUACGAAAGUAGGAACUAGUGAUCCGGCGAUCCCGUGUGGGUGGGUCGUCGCUCAACGGAUAAAAGGUACCCCGGGGAUAACAGGCUGAUCCUGCCCAAGAGUCCAUAUCGACGGCAUGGUUUGGCACCUCGAUGUCGGCUCGUCGCAUCCUGGGGCUGGAGCAGGUCCCAAGGGUUGGGCUGUUCGCCCAUUAAAGCGGUACGCGAGCUGGGUUUAGAACGUCGUGAGACAGUUCGGUCCCUAUCCUCUGCGCGCGCAGGAGACUUGAGAAGGCCUGUCCCUAGUACGAGAGGACCGGGACGGACGAACCUCUGGUGUGCCAGUUGUCCCGCCCGGGGCACGGCUGGUUGGCUACGUUCGGGACGGGUAACCGCUGAAAGCAUCUAAGCGGGAAACCAUCUUCAAGACAAGGUCUCCACAAGACAGUUACUGUCUUGA